CUUACUCUUCUGCAUCGCCACCAAAGGUAAUUUCUCUGUUUCUGUGAACUAAAAAUUGCAAGUUUUUGUCUUUUGAGGAUGGAAUUUAAACAAGAACAAAGUCAAACCCAUUAGAUCAGUUCUAAUCGAUGUUAUAUCAUUUUGAAAUCCAAAAAAAAAAAGAUCAUUGGCAAGCACUAAUCUUAAUAGUGUUUUGUCAGAUUAGUUAUUUGGGUAAACAUUGUCCCGUAAAGAAUCUUUUGGUUGGUAGUGCAUGUCUAAAGAAGUAUGUUAUGGGGAUGGAGAAUAAUACUCGGAAUCUAUUGGUUGGUAGUGCAUGCUUUAAAUAGUCGUUAAGACAAAGACUCUAUGUGGAGAGGGGAUGAGAAAACAAUGACCCACGGCUUAGUAAAACGCCUAGUGCCUUAAAUAAGGCUAGUUGGAUUGGAAAAAACGACCAACAGCUUAAAGAUAGAGAUAUCUUUAAGACAAAAGACUCUGAACCACAAGGCUAAAAACUGUCUUUGCCUCUAAACCAUAGACAAAGACUAUGAGUUGAAUGGGUUGGUUUACGAUUUGUUGGAUGGAAAGAAGAACGACCAAAAGCUGAAAUAAGCUUAAGACACAAGUCUGAAACAAAAAGUCUUUUACACAAAAGACAAUACUGGGUUGCUUAGAAAAGGGGUCCUUGGUGGAAUAAAAGAGUUCAAACGGCUUAAAGAAGUCUUAAAGAAAGUCUCUUGGCAAAGACAAAAGGGGUCGGUUUUUAAGAUAUGUUGGAUGGAAAAAAAAGACAGGCAAAAGGAAACUUGUUGGAUGGAAAAUAAAAUAAACGACCAACAGCUUGAUGAAGAAGUCUUGGAACAAAGACUUUGAACCAAAAGGCGGGAAAAAGACUAUGAGUUGGAUGGGUAUAAUGACCAACUCUUAAGACAUAAAAAGAUCAUUGGCAAGCACUAAUCUUAAUAGUGUUUUGUCAGAUUAUUUAUUUGGGUAACAUUGUCCCGUACGGAAUCUUUUGGUUGGUAGUGCAUGUCUAAAGAAGUAUGCUAUGGGGAUGGAGAAUAAGACUCGGAAUCUAUUGGUUGGUGGUGCAUGCUUUAAUAGUCGUUAAGACAGACUAUAUGUGGAGGGUGGGAUGAGAAAACAAUGACCCACGGCUUAGUAAAACGCCUAAUGGCUUAAAUAAGACUAGUUGGAUUGGAAAAAAGAAAACGACCAACAGCUUAAAGAGGUCCUAAAGACAAUAUGGGGUUGAUUGGAAAAGGGGUCCUUGGUGGAAUAAAAGAGUUCGAAAGGGCUUAAAGAUGUCUUAGAAAUAAGGCUCUUGGCUAAAGACAAAAAGGGGUCGGUUUUUAGAUAUGCUGGAUGGAAAAAUGACCAGCGGCUCAGAGAAAAAAGUCCAUAGAUGGAAAAUAAGACAGGCAAAAGAAAACUUGUUAGAUGGAAAAUAAAAUAAACGACCAACAGGUUGAUGAAGAAGUCUUUGGAAAAUAAAAGAUCCAGCGGAGAUCGCUCUAGAGAUCCAACAGGAAAAUAAAAACUAUGUCUACUUGAAAGUAUACACAGACUAUGAGUUGGAUGGGUAAGGAAAAAAUAAAAGGAAGAAUGACAAAUCAGUCUUAACAUAAAGACUAAAUCGAAAACAGUUUCUGCUUGGUAAAAAGUCGCGACAAAGACUAUGGCUUGACGUACGAUUUGUUGGAUUGGAAAAAGAAAACGAGUAACGACUCGAGAGAAAGUCUGAAAAGCUCUCAAGACAAAUACUAUGAUGAGAUGUUAAGAAUGAAAAAUUUUAAGACAGCUGAAACAAAAACAACGAAUGGCUUUGGAAAGUCUUUUGACAAAGGUUGUCAACGGCUUAACGAAUCAUACCACACAUAUUCUAAACAAGGAUUAAGAAUCGAAUAGAGAUUCUUUACUCUAGACAAAAGACAAUAUGUUGGAUGGAAACAUUGACCAGCGGCUUAGAAGAAGAAAAAGGUCACUAGAUGAAUAAAAUCGACUAAUGCUGACCAGCGGCUUAAAAGUCACAAAGACAGACCAAAAGACUUACAAGUAAACGAAGACUAUAUGUUGGAAUGGAUGUAUAGAAUCACCAACUGUCUCUAAGCAGUCUUAAGACAGAUAUGAAAUGAAAACUACCACGGCUAUGGAUCCACAACAGGUUCUUAUGUAAGCACAUGGCUUUAGGAGUCAUCUGAAAAAGAAUACGGCUUGGUUUUGGUAUAAUUACCAAUAGCUUUAAAAUGUCUCAAAGAGUCAAGACAAAGACUAUAGAUGGAAAAACUAACCCACAGCUCAAAUGAAAUAAAUUUCUCAUGGCUGAGACGAGACUAUGGAUGGGGAGAACUGAUUCUUUACUCUGCAAGACGACUUCAAAUAGAAAGUCUCAACACAAGCAAUAGCUUAAAGAUGUGUUAAGACAGAGACUAUGAACAACAAGGAGUAAACAAACCGUUUUCUGCUUGGAUAACCACAAGUCUACAAAGACUAAUGAGUUGGAUGUACAUAAUGACGAAAUCUUAAUACAAAGACAAUGGAAGAAUGUCAAAUCUUUAGACAAAGACUAGAGCUUGGUUUAUGUUUUGUUGGAUGGGAAAAACUAACGACCAACAGCUUAAGACAAAGUAUGAAGAAAAAGCUCUUAAGACAAAAACCAUGUCUGUAAUCAGACAACUCACAGAUUUGGAAAGUCACACGACUACAAAGACUAUACCAACGGCUUAAGUACGUGUUAAGACAAAAAUUCUUAACAAGGAUCAAAAGAUUCUUACUUAAUAGCUUAAAUAAGGCUUGUUGGAUGGGGUAAAAAACGUAACCAACGGUUUAAAGAUGUCUUACGAAGACAGUCUCUGAAAAGUCCUUCGUUGAAUAAAAAUGACAAAUGGCUUAAAUUAGACUUGUUGGACGGGAAAAAAAUGACAAACAAGAAAGAGCUUAAGAGAUGUCUUUACACAAAAGAAUCUUAACUAGCGCUUAAGAAAGUCGUAAGGAAAAAGACUGAAUUAACAAUAAAAUCCUUACAUUUCUACCCACGGCUUAAAGUACAAAAUAGCACACACGCAAGACGUUAGACCAACAUCUUAAAAGAAUGUUAAGACAGACAUUAUUAUGGCUGAGAUAGUGCUUGUUGGAUGAAAGAAACAACAAACUGUUUGAAAAAGUCUAAGACAAAGACUAUGGACCUAAGGCGUAUAGACAUGUCUCUGUUUAACAACCACAAGGCCUAAAAGUAGACAAAGAAAAAGCUCAAACAAAGACAAAGAAAACCUAUAGCUUUAAAAGAUGUCUUAAGAAUACGACUCUGAAAAAGUCCUUAGAUGGGUAUAUAAAAACAAGCAAUGGCUUAACACUUAUUUGAUGGGGAAAGAACACAAGCAAUGCUUAAAGAUGUGUUAAGAUAAAGACUCUGAACUGAGAACUAUAAAUAAGAUAACUAUGAGCUUAACACCCCGGCUUAAGUCCUUAAUGGAAAAGGUACAAAUGGCAUAAAAAGUGUGUCUAGACAAAAACAAUUUUUUGACAUGCUGGAUGGAAAGAAUGACCAACGGCUAAGAAAAAAGGUCAGCAGAUGGAAAAACUAUUUAUGGCAAAAAAGAAAACCACCAAUGGCUUAAAGAAAUCAUAGAAAAAGACACUAUGAUUCGGUUUAUAUUUUGGUGGGUGGAAAGGGAUGACCAAUGUCUGAAAUAAUGACAAAGAAGAAAGAAGUUGUUACAAAAAGACUAUGAACCGUUUUAGAUUUGUAGUCUUUGUCACCACAGCUUACAGUCUUAUGACAAAGAGUAUAAUGAUUCGUUGGAUGGCUAUACGACCAACAGACUCAAGGAAUACGAUUCAAAAAAUGACUGUUAAAAUAUAUAUGGCGAAGUAAAUACUAAUUAAUUAUGAUUUUUGUUUUUUCAGGUAUGUGCUUCAGAAGGUGUUCAAAACCAAAUUGUUAAAUAUUUUGCGGAGAUUUCAACUGUACCAGACUUUUGUGACGGGCAGGUAUGUGCUUCUCUCAUGGACGUUCAAAAGGAUUUGUCUAACAUUUAUGAAUUAUUGGUGAAAGUACCCACGUUUUUGUUUCAUAGAAGAAAACACUGGUCACUUGAAAUUCUGAAGGUCUAUUUGCUUCUGCAUCAACCGAUUUCAAAUCCUAAUGUGGUGUAUCUCAAACCUCUAUACAUGGGUUUUGCACAAUCACUUAAAAAUACAAAAACAUACAUACACAAUUACAUACAUGCAUUCAUAUAUGCAUAUGUACAUACUUCGUUCUGUAUAUAUUCAUGCUUCCAUACUUCAUUGUUUACUAGCUUUCUUGAUUUUCUGUUUUGACUUUUAUGCUAACUUACUUGCUUCCUUAUUUACUGUUCAUUUAUA